AUCAAACAACUUGCUGGUACAGGAAGGUCAAUGACACGUUUGUCAUUCUUCGUCAAGACCAAGACCCAGCAGCCCUCCUGCAACACCUCAACCAACAGCACCCCCGAUCAUGCAACACGUCAAC